UGUGUAUACAGGCAUUUCCCAUUUUAUGCAAAUAAUUGAGACUGAAGGAUUUUAUGUAACUCAGAUUUUGUAAAAAGUUGGAAAAUAACAAAAAUUCUAAAGUAAAAACUAUUACAGCUUAUGAACUACCGCGAUUGGACUUACUGUACAUCAACUUUCAGCCAUAUUGUUCGCUGGCUGAAAGUUAGACUACACGGUACGCUACCAAUAAUAUCUUUUAAAUGUUUUAAAGUAGCAUGUUUGAACUUUGUAAAUACAAUAAAUUUUACUGCUCUGUACCUGGGAUGGUCAAAUUUUGUGUCACUACCAGCCAGGAGAGAGAAUCGCAAAAUACUUAAGAUCAGUACUCGAUUUCUUUCUGAUCAAUGCGACCUCAUUACUUUUUUCGAGUAUUAACCAUAAUUUCAAAAUUUUUUUAUAUAUUUGACGCGUAUUUUAUUUCGUAUGGAUGUAUACCGCUAUUUACAAUAAAUGAACCUACUGCAAAUAAAUUAUUUUUUAAAUUAAAUAGAUAUUUGCUUCAUAUUAACUACUGA
rnacentral:lncRNA from 1 species